rnacentral:rRNA from 1 species
UAAUGUAUGGGGAUCUGUCCGAUAGAGGGGGGUAACUACUGGAAACGGUGGCUAAUACCGCAUAAUGUCUACGGACCAAAGCAGGGGCUCUUCGGACCUUGCACUAUCGGAUGAACCCAUAUGGGAUUAGCUAGUAGGUGGGGUAAAGGCUCACCUAGGCGACGAUCUCUAGCUGGUCUGAGAGGAUGAUCAGCCACACUGGGACUGAGACACGGCCCAG